GGGGACCCGCAAGCGGUGGAUGAUGUGGAUUAAUUCGAUGCAACGCGAAAAACCUUACCUACCCUUGACAUGGCAGGAAUCCCUGAGAGAUCAGGGAGUGCUCGAAAGAGAACCUGCACACAGGUGCUGCAUGGCUGUCGUCAGCUCGUGUCGUGAGAUGUUGGGUUAAGUCCCGCAACGAGCGCAACCCUUGUCAUUAGUUGCUACGAAAGGGCACUCUAAUGAGACUGCCGGUGACAAACCGGAGGAAGGUGGGGAUGACGUCAAGUCCUCAUGGCCCUUAUGGGUAGGGCUUCACACGUCAUACAAUGGUACAUACAGAGGGCCGCCAACCCGCGAGGGGGAGCUAAUCCCAGAAAGUGUAUCGUACUCCGGAUUGGAGUCUGCAACUCGACUCCUUGAAGUUGGAAUCGCUAGUAAUCGCGGAUCAGCAUGUCGCGGUGAAUACGUUCCCGGGUCUUGUACACACC
rnacentral:rRNA from 1 species